GAAGACAUCAGAGUGAUGGGAUGAGAGAACUCAGCGUGCCUUUGCUGACUUUGAAGGUGGAGGAAGGAACUGUGGAGCCAAGGAACACAGAGCCUCUAGAAGCUGGAAGAGGCAAGGAAAAGGAGCCUCCCCUAGAGGCUCCAGAAGGGAAUGCAGCACCGUCAACACCUUCAUUGCCACCCGUGAGACCCAGGCCAAGAAAAGCAAUGCGACGUAGAUCUAACAGAUGCCCUCUACAGAGAUGAGUGAAAAAUCAAGAAUGUCCAACUUUGAAGAAUGCCACCACGACAGAGAGAGACGGUCAAACUUCCACCUGAGAAAAUGGAGUCCGUAGAGCAAGAAGAUUAGGGCUUUGCAACAAGUUAUGACUUGUGUUCACAUUCUUGUGAACGCUGAAUACACAUAAGUAUGAAUAAACCAGAGAUUAUGGAAUCUGAUUGUUGAAAUAAUAAAAGGGCUCCAUCAG